rnacentral:misc_RNA from 1 species
GAAACGCGAUAGUUAAUGUGAAUUGCAGAAUUCAGUGAAUCAUCGAGUCUUUGAACGCACAUUGCGCCCAUUGGUAUUCCAUUGGGCAUGUCUGUUUGAGCGUCAUUACAACCCCUCAGCGCAAGCUGGUGAUGAGUCCGGUUCCUAACCGACCUGGCUUUAAAGUUGUAAGCUCUGCUGGCUGCUACGCCUGAACAAAAACAUAGUAAAAAUUCAUUUUGACUUGUUUAUAACUAAGGUGUGCAGGUUGGCCUGAACAAAACCUACCCUUUCUAAGGUUUGACCUCAGAUCAGACAAGGAUACCCGCUGAACUUAAGC